rnacentral:tRNA from 1 species
UGGUUCAGAUGGUAGAGAAUCUGCCUGUAAUGCAGAAGACCCAGGUUUGAUCCCUGG